AGUGAACGCUGGCGGUAGGCCUAACACAUGCAAGUCGAACGGCAGCACAGUAAGAGCUUGCUCUUACGGGUGGCGAGUGGCGGACGGGUGAGGAAUACAUUGGAAUCUACUUUUUCGUGGGGGAUAACGUAGGGAAACUUACGCUAAUACCGCAUACGACCUACGGGAGAAAGCAGGGGAUCUUCGGACCUUGCGCGAUUGAAUGAGCCGAUGUCGGAUUAGCUAGUUGGCGGGGUAAAGGCCCACCAAGGCGACGAUCCGUAGCUGGUCUGAGAGGAUGAUCAGCCACACUGGAACUGAGACACGGUUCAGACUCCUACGGGAGGCAGCAGUGGGGAAUAUUGGACAAUGGGCGCAAGCCUGAUCCAGCCAUACCGCGUGGGUGAAGAAGGCCUUCGGGUUGUAAAGCCCUUUUGUUGGGAAAGAAAAGCAGCAGGUUAAUACCCCGCUGUUCUGACGGUACCCAAAGAAUAAGCACCGGCUAACUUCGUG
rnacentral:rRNA from 1 species